UGUAUAAAAUGUGACAGCAACUUUUAUAUCAAACAUUUUGAAAUCGUCCAAAGCUGAACAAUGCUAGAGGCAUACAUGAAAACACACUAAAAAAUAAAUUAAGUUUGUGAGAGUUGCAUUUUAUUAGCUACAUUCAGAAAUAAUAACGGCAGGCCUAAUAAUGCUAUAGGCUAAUGAACCAACAGGAUAUUUUUGCUAUCAGUGUGAUAACUUUUUCUCAAACUUUUUUUUUUCUCUCAGAUCUUUUAUUUUCUCGCAUGGAAUAAAGACACAAUUCUAACUCCAUAACGCGCUGCCAAGAUGGCGACGGCCUACUCGGCACCAUAGACAGUAAAGCUCGGCACACACCGGUUCAAGCAACUGUCGAAGUUUUUUCCGAGGAUUACCGAGAACCCUAAAGAAUAAUGUUAGCUGGAUUUAGAAGUGGAAGAACGGAGAGCUUGCAUAAGGACAGUUCCAGAGGCCACCAGACAACUAUGAAUCUACUUCACCCAUCGAAGAGCCUUCUUUAUUUGCUCCUAACCUUUGGACCCUUUCUAGGUGGAAUGUCGAUCCCGGUUGCAGUAAACAUUGGGGAUACUGCGAUUUUCACUUGUAAUGAGACAUGUAAUGGACAUCUCUUGUGGACAUUCCGCACUAACAAUGAAAAUCUAGACGUUGUAAAAUGUGUCCAAGAGACUUGCACCAAAGGAGACAACUUUAAGAACAGAGUGAGCCUUAAGCCUGGAAAAAUGUCUCUAGCCCUGUAUCCUGUUCUGUACAAUGAUGAAGGCUGGUACAUUGUCAAAUGUGAUUCAGCGGUUGCCUGUAGAUUCCACUUAGAAGCUCUUGUACCAACUACUGUGAGCACCUCAGUCAGUAGCAAUGUCACACUACCCUGCUAUGCACGCACAGAGAAACAAAUCACUGAUGACACUGUGAAUAUCCUGUGGAAAAAAGAUGACCGAACGGUGUUACAAGUUCAAAAAGGAAUUACAACAUAUGGCUCAGGAUUUACAGGCAGGGUAUUAGUUUCACUGCACUAUUAUAAGGACGGAGAUCUUUCCCUUAACAUGGUCAGGGUCACCAUGUCAGAUAAGGGAUUGUACCGGUGCUAUCACAGAACUACAGAAGAACAGGGUUAUCCUGGUGCUGUUACUCUCAAUGUUACAGCUGAUCAAAAGUUUUAUGCAAAAAAGUUUGGGGGAAAUCUCACCCUGGACCUGUUUGGCUCUGACCAUGUAAGGGUAACUUUCACCGUUCAUGAUGCAGAUGAGACGCCUGUUUGCAGUGUGACGGGAAACAAACCUACAUGCUCAUCUGAGUACACGCACAGAAUAUCUGUCAUAAAUGACUUCCUUGUGCUGCGCGAGUUAACGUCCACUGAUACAGGCACAUUUACUGUGAAAAAUGAGAUGGAUGAAGUCAUUGGUGUCAACACUGUCACUGUGGAGGGUAAGUUUGAAAUCAAACUAAUUUCAUUUUUUGUUGUUUAAUUUGUUCUUUUCAGUUUUAAUAAUUGGCUUUCGUUUGCAUUCAGAACUAAGUUCCUUUCUUUGUCAUGCACAGGUGUGACCCAGAGACAUCACUACAUAGCUCUGUCUGUGAUAAUUGGUUUCAUUCUCAUUUGCCUGUUCCUUUGCUGUCAGUGUUGUAGACAGUCACAAGCACAGCAGUAUCGCUGCAGUUAUAGUGCAAUACAGUCUAAUGUGAAUAUAAAUCCAGAACCGAUGAGAGAGCCUGCAUGCAUUGAAUUUUCACAAGAAGAAACCAACCCAGAGCCUGAAGUUCAUCUACACACACCUGUCGAGGAGACCAUGCCUGAGCCUGUGAGGACCACUGAGAAGCAAGACAACACUGAAGAGUAUAUUACGUGUGGAAUAGGAAUUAGAGAAACAAUUUAAGAAUACUUUAAGAGAACUGAAAAAAAAAAAAAAAAAAUCCUCCUCAAAUGUUCUUCCGCUGCUGUAUUAUAUGCUAUGAAAAAGAUGGCAUUAGAUUUAAUUGGAUAUUCUUUGAGCAACUGCAUAACUGUGCCAGUGAACAAUAUGUUAAACUUGAAGAGAAAUUGAUUAUAUUUUUUACUUCAGGAAGGCCUGUAGCUGCAGUCUUGUUUUUGGCCAAAAAUAUAAAUUUUCCAUCAUCAAUAGUGUAGCGAUGUAUAAAGCACAGCACAGUCACUUUCAAUUCCAGUUAGCCACAGAGUGUUAAAUUAAUGUGAAGUAUUUUUAUUGUAAAUCAUAUAAUAGCCUUUUUUUCUGACAUGUUUACAUUGCUGUUAGGCAUCUUAAAUCAUUAGGCUUGGGGUGCACAACUAUUAUUCUUGUCGUAAUGAUGAUGUCAGAUGUGGCCACACUGGAAACCCACUUGCUUGACUGUGCUUAUUCUUAAUAAGCAUUAUUCUGCACUUUGAUAUAUUGCACUUUUUCUAUUCUAUUUAUAAGCUUUCGAUACUAACCUUGUGGUAUAACCUUUUUUCUAUUGAAUUUGUUUUAU
ensembl:lncRNA